UACGGGGGGGGCAAGCGUUGUUCGGAAUUACUGGGUGUAAAGGGUUCGUAGGCGGUGCGGCAAGUUGGGAGUGAAAUCUCUGGGCUCAACCCAGAGACGGCUUCCAAAACUGCUGUGCUUGAGUGUGAGAGAGGCUCGUGGAAUUGCAGGUGUAGCGGUGAAAUGCGUAGAUAUCUGCAGGAACACCCGUGGCGAAAGCGGCGAGCUGGAUCACUACUGACGCUGAAGAACGAAAGCUAGGGGAGCAAACAGG
rnacentral:rRNA from 1 species